UACGUAGGGGGCAAGCGUUGUCCGGAUUUAUUGGGCGUAAAGAGCGUGUAGGCGGCCAAGUAAGUCUGCUGUGAAAACUCGAGGCUUAACCUCGAGCUGUCGGCGGAAACUAUUUGGCUAGAGUCCGGAAGAGGAGAAUGGAAUUCCCGGUGUAGCGGUGAAAUGCGCAGAUAUCGGGAAGAACACCCGUGGCGAAGGCGGUUCUCUGGGACGGUACUGACGCUGAGACGCGAAAGCGUGGGGAGCGGACAGG
rnacentral:rRNA from 1 species